UCUGACAAUGCAUAUUCUUAGAAUGAAAGCUCCGGCGGUUAUUGAUGGGCAUGCGCAUUAGCUAGUUGGUGAGGUAACGGCCCACCAAGGCUACGAUGUCUAGUCCUGAGAGGGUUAACCCCCACACUGGUACUGAGACACGGACCAGACUACGGGAGGCAGCAGUAAGGAAUAUUGGGCAAUGGACGCAAGUCUGCAGCCAUGCCGCGUGAAGGAUGAAUGUCCUAUGGAUUGUACUUCUUUUAUGCAGGAAAAACAUCCCGGUCGUGAACCGGGACUGAUACUGUAUGAAUAAGCAUCGGCUAACUCCGUGCCAGCAGCCGCGGUACGGAGGAUGCCAAGCGUUAUCCCGGAUUCAUUUGGUUUAAAGGGUGCGGGAAUAAU
rnacentral:rRNA from 1 species